rnacentral:misc_RNA from 1 species
ACUUUCGCAGACCUUAUGGAAGGAAAGAGCAGUGACUUGUUGUCAAAGCAAGGAUGAGGAAUAUUCGUUUAGUAGACUUCAUGUGCUUUGUAAGAUGCUUUUCUUGAUAUGAGACUUUUCGUUCUGGAAAAAAAUCAGGAUUCUUAACUAAAGAUUCUUUUGAGUAAUGGAAGGUUUAUUUUCUAUAUGACGACAUACCGUUAAAACAUCGUGGAUAUCUUGUUUAGAAGAUCACAAUGUCGGGGAGACGAAGAAUCGAAAGGAGAAAACAGUUUCCUUAAUUUAUCGAUGGAAAUGGGUUUAUCAGAAGUUUUCUUUCCCCAUGGAAAUUUUCAAGAUGGAUUUGGUUUUGCUAUGUUCAUCUGGGUGAUCGGAUUUACAAGAGGAAUAGCUUCAUACGAUGAUUUCUUGGUGUAUAUCCCUGUUAUUGAAGAGAUUAUGAACGAGACCUUUUUUCUUGACCCUGUUCCGAUUCAAAACAGUAGCUCGUGUGUCAUUACCAUUCCGGCCAUGUCUGAAAACGGAACUUCCGGUGGUCUGGUAAACCUUACCUUGUUGAAUAGCGAGCUUGGUCAACAAGACCUGUCAGACAUAUUGAAUGGAUCAAGGGGAGGGGUAAUAGGGGAAAGGAGCAGUUUUGGACAUAUUUAUCUAAAACAACCGAAAGGGGACUUAACUCCGCUGUAUGACGUCACAAAUGGUUCCCGCCAAUAUCUUGUUCCAGUAAAUAUUUUCAAUAACACCAAAAUAUGUUUGUACUCAGGUUUUGAUUCUGUGACGUACGAGAUUUUUGUGUUCAAUUCUACGCUUGUACCAGAAAUGCUAGCUUUAAAAGUCCGAAAAGUGCUCCGCUCAUUCAGCACAGACUGCUUGCUUGCAGGCGAUAUGGAUUCGGAUGUUAUCUUUGUGAAUAGCUCAAAACAGUUUGGUGUGAUGUUGAUAAAACCGGAAGUGCUUCCAAUACCCGGCUCAAACAGAGCACUGGAGUCUAUUCCAAACACAGAUUAUAUGAGAACGGAGUUUGUUAUGGUAACAGACGAGGAAUCGGAAAUAUUUCUCAUGGCUGUGUUGUGGAACCUUGUGUGAUUGUUGUGACAAAGAAAAUGGACAAUUACCCUAGCGUAUCGAUUAACGGCUCGCUAGUGCGGGCUACAAACUAUUCAUUUAGUGAUUACCAUAUCCUGGAGAUAGCCAAUCUACAGAAUGGACUGCAUUUCUUAAACGUCACAAAUAGCGCAGGAUUAGCCGUGUAUGUUUUUGAUAGAGACCGGGCAAGACUUUAUCAUGUACCUCCAUUAAACCAGAACAAGUGUUCUGAAUUUGUUAAAUCCUCGUCUUCUUCAUCAGUUAACAAUGGCGAUGAUAAGGUGAAUUCUACAACAUACAGUAGUGUAACGAUACCAUAUUUAUCAGAUGAUGACACAUCAAAUAUUUCUUCUUCUACUGAAAAGUUUACCUCUCUUAGUGGUAAUUAUUCAAACAGUCUCAAUUCAACAUCUUUGCCGUUAUAUAAUUCAACGCAGAAAACACCUAGAGAAGAAAGUGCCUUUCAAAAUGUGACAACCGUUUCUUAUCAAAAUACAACGAAUACGGCGACAUUGAGAAACGUCACUAAAACAACGCCUAUGAAACAAGCCAUAGAAAUAGAGAUUGGUGGGGUAGCCGCGCAGUCUCACAUCAAUCAAAACGCCUCAAAUAGUUCCCAUGCCGCCAAUGGGAAAUCCCCCAGCUACAAUAUUUUUUUUCAGGAUGUAGAAGAAGACGACUAUAGCCAAGAGUACAUGAUGGCGGUAGUUCUCUCCCUUUGUGUCGCCAUCUUUGCUGUGAUCGCCGUGAUAUCUUCGUUCUUGCUCAUGGAGUUUAUUUCACGACAGAAACAGAUUAGAAAUACUAAAAUUCGACCAUUUGUGUCGUGAAUUGAAAAGAAGACAGUAUAAAUAUUGUUGUUAACGAGAAUACAUUGAUAUUUUUUAUUAUGUGUUUUAAUAACUUGCAUGAUAUACUGCGGCGGUAGUGACGUUUGUAAGUGGGUUCCGCUGUUUCUCGUUUAAAAAUAUGAUCUACAUGUAUAUGUUACAUUUUAUCUGUUAUCCCUGGUAGACAUCUACUAUUGUUUCUUCUUUGUACAUGUACUUAGAAAUGAUACAAAUAAGGAAAAAAAACAUGUUGUUUUUUAUAUUAAUAUUAAUUGUCUUUUGCUAAGUUUAGCUGGGAUUUUUAAUUAAUUUUUAGAGAUAUCAAAUACAAUGUUUAUUAAUAUUGAUCGUUGGCUGUUAUAAACUUUUGACUUCGUACAAAAUACUUAUCAGCUUAAAACAAUUUUAUAUCAAAUUAUAAUCGUGUCAAAAUAUCGGAACGAAGUCAGCUCAUCAGUUGGUCGCCAGGUAACUGGUUAUAAUGUGCUAAAAACCAAUUUUCAUUUGCGAGCCAUUAAAGCAACGAAAAUUUGCGAGGUUGAUGGGUUCGCAAUUGUAGCAAAAAUGUCUUAUACUGCAAACCAGCAACUUGUGUUUGUUAUUACUUAACUAAAUCAAUAAAAUCGUGGUUACUGCAAAACAGUCAAUCACUCAUGUGGUUUAUUGCGAAAUAAAGUCGUCUCAAAU